rnacentral:pre_miRNA from 1 species
AUCCUUUAGGAGAAAUAGCAGCACGCCAUGGUUUGUAGAGAUAAGGUGAUGCAAACCAUCGUGGGCUGUUACAUUUUCCUAAAGGGCAUUCCA